CAGUCGAACGAACUCUGGUAUUGACUGGUGCUUGCAUCAUGAUUUACAUUUGUGUGAGUGGCGAACUGGUGAGUAACACGUGGGAAACCUGCCCAGAAGCGGGGGAUAACACCUGGAAACAGAUGCUAAUACCGCAUAACAACUUGGACCGCAUGGUCCGAGCUUGAAAGAUGGCUUCGGCUAUCACUUUUGGAUGGUCCCGCGGCGUAUUAGCUAGAUGGUGGGGUAACGGCUCACCAUGGCAAUGAUACGUAGCCGACCUGAGAGGGUAAUCGGCCACAUUGGGACUGAGACACGGCCCAAACUCCUACGGGAGGCAGCAGUAGGGAAUCUUCCACAAUGGACGAAAGUCUGAUGGAGCAACGCCGCGUGAGUGAAGAAGGGUUUCGGCUCGUAAAACUCUGUUGUUAAAGAAGAACAUAUCUGAGAGUAACUGUUCAGGUAUUGACGGUAUUUAACCAGAAAGCCACGGCUAACUACGUGCCAGCAGCCGCGGUAAUACGUAGGUGGCAAGCGUUGUCCGGAUUUAUUGGGCGUAAAGCGAGCGCAGGCGGUUUUUUAAGUCUGAUGUGAAAGCCUUCGGCUCAACCGAAGAAGUGCAUCGGAAACUGGGAAACUUGAGUGCAGAAGAGGACAGUGGAACUCCAUGUGUAGCGGUGAAAUGCGUAGAUAUAUGGAAGAACACCAGUGGCGAAGGCGGCUGUCUGGUCUGUAACUGACGCUGAGGCUCGAAAGUAUGGGUAGCAAACAGGAUUAGAUACCCUGGUAGUCCAUACCGUAAACGAUGAAUGCUAAGUGUUGGAGGGUUUCCGCCCUUCAGUGCUGCAGCUAACGCAUUAAGCAUUCCGCCUGGGGAGUACGGCCGCAAGGC
rnacentral:rRNA from 1 species